UAUUGGACAAUGGGCGAAAGCCGAUCCAGCCAUGCCGCGUGAGUGAUGAAGGCCCUAGGGUUGUAAAGCUCUUUCAACGGUGAAGAUAAUGACGGUAACCGUAGAAUAAGCCCCGGCUAACUUCGUGCCACCAGCCGCGCUAAUACGAAGGGGGCUAGCGUUGUUCGCAAUUACUGGGCGUAAAGCGCACCUAGGCGGACUAUAAAGACUGGGGUGAAAUCCCGGCGCUCAACCCCGCAACUGCCUUUCAUACUCGUAGUCUACAGUCCCACAGAGGUGAGUGGAAUUCCCAGUGUAGAGGUGAAAUUCGUAGAUAUUCGGAGGAACACCAGUGGCGAAGGCGGCUCACUGGCUCGGUACUGACGCUGAGGUGCCAAAGCGUGGGGAGCAAACAGGAUUACAUACCCUGGUAGUCCACGC
rnacentral:rRNA from 1 species